rfam:Myotis davidii contig192211, whole genome shotgun sequence.
UGUUAUGUAGCUCAGUGGUAGAGUGCUUGCUUUCCAUGUAUGAAGCCCUGAGUUCAUUCCCCAGCAUCUCUA